AGGAUAACCCUGCUGCGGAGGAUACCCUUGCUGCUGAGGAUACCCCUGAGGAGGAUAUCCCUGUACUGGGUAUCCUUGUGGUGGGUAUGCAUCUUUCGGGUACCCUAUAUAUUUAUUACAAACACAAUUACAAAUUCAGAUUAGCAAAAACCAUUUAUUUAAACCCAUCGGAGCAGAGGUAUAAAACAAACAUUGAUCGAAGUUUUUACCUUGAGGAGGAGGGACUCCGACAGGUGGCUGUGGCUGCUGGUUGUUGUAAUAACUCAUCUUCUCCUUUAUCUUCUUCUAACUUUGGGUGCAGAAUAGAAAAAAAGGAGGUGACCUUGAAAGCAGAUUUAUAGACAAGGAAGGGUAAAGACGCGUGACAGAGUAAAGGCGGUUUAAGAAUCAAGAGGAAGGAAGCAACCAGGAAGGAGGGUGUAGUUAUAGAGUUCUCGAAACAGUUGGGGUUCUCUACUGCCAGCCUUUUGGUUUUGUGGGCAGAAGGGAAAGGAGGAAUCUUUUUCCCGUCUUUACAGCCAAACUCGACGG
rnacentral:lncRNA from 1 species